rnacentral:rRNA from 1 species
CUACCCUUGACAUGUCCGGAAGCCUGCUGAAAGGCGGGUGUGCUCGAAAGAGAACUGGAACACAGGUGCUGCAUGGCUGUCGUCAGCUCGUGUCGUGAGAUGUUGGGUUAAGUCCCGCAACGAGCGCAACCCUUGUCCUUAGUUGCUACGCAAGGGCACUCUAAGGAGACUGCCGGUGACAAACCGGAGGAAGGUGGGGAUGACGUCAAGUCCUCAUGGCCCUUAUGGGUAGGGCUUCACACGUCAUACAAUGGACGGUACAGAGGGUCGCCAACCCGCGAGGGGGAGCCAAUCCCGAUAAAGCCGUUCGUAGUCCGGAUUGCAGCCUGCAACUCGACUGCAUGAAGUCGGAAUCGCUAGUAAUCGCGGAUCAGCAUGCCGCGGUGAAUACGUUCCC